rnacentral:misc_RNA from 1 species
AAGUCGUAACAAGGUUUCCGUAGGUGAACCUGCGGAAGGAUCAUUACCAAAAACAUUGACACCAUAGUGGACAUGGACGAUGGUGGGCAGCAGCAAGUAAGCGUGUGUGUGUGUGCGUGGAGGAUGUGUGGGGGGGGGAGGGGAAGAGUUGUUGUGUGUAUGUGUGAGGCGGCAUGCCUCGCACGCCACGCACUCUCUCUCUCUCUCUUCUCUUCCUCUCUGCGUGUGCUGCUGCUUGCGUGUGCGGGCUCUGCCUACCGCGGCCAAUACUUGAACAACAUCUUAUUAUACAUUGACAACCAAUACAACACAACUUUUAACAAUGGAUCUCUAGGCUCUU